rnacentral:rRNA from 1 species
GACGAACGCUGGCGGCGUGCCUAAUACAUGCAAGUAGAACGCUGAAGAGAGGAGCUUGCUCUUCUUGGAUGAGUUGCGAACGGGUGAGUAACGCGUAGGUAACCUGCCUUGUAGCGGGGGAUAACUAUUGGAAACGAUAGCUAAUACCGCAUAACAAUGGAUGACACAUGUCAUUUAUUUGAAAGGGGCAAUUGCUCCACUACAAGAUGGACCUGCGUUGUAUUAGCUAGUAGGUGAGGUAAUGGCUCACCUAGGCGACGAUACAUAGCCGACCUGAGAGGGUGAUCGGCCACACUGGGACUGAGACACGGCCCAGACUCCUACGGGAGGCAGCAGUAGGGAAUCUUCGGCAAUGGGGGCAACCCUGACCGAGCAACGCCGCGUGAGUGAAGAAGGUUUUCGGAUCGUAAAGCUCUGUUGUAAGUC